CGGCUAAUUUGUAUUUCAGCGAAUUGUCGUUAGGGUUUGUAAGGGAUAUGGCGUAGAUUUAGACAUCUUACAUGUAAGUCUUAGCUCAUUGUUUCCUGAAAUAUGAACUUCGAAAUUAUGCAAGUAUUUAAUAGGUCUUUACAAAUUUAAAGGUACAUGAAAGACCAUGGAAGGCAGGCGCUUAAAUUUUUCUUAAAUAGCAUAAUUUUUUUUAUGUUUUUAAUGGGUUCAAACAGACUGAGUUGAUUAUUUCUCGGUUAGAGCAGGAUGAAUAUUAUUCUUUAUUGAAAGAAGUAAUAUUGCUUUUUGCAAAUACGCAUCACCGCG